AACGAACGCUGGCGGCAGGCUUAACACAUGCAAGUCGAGCGCCCCGCAAGGGGAGCGGCAGACGGGUGAGUAACGCGUGGGAAUCUACCCAUCUCUACGGAAUAACGCAUGGAAACGUGUGCUAAUACCGUAUACGUCCUUCGGGAGAAAGAUUUAUCGGAGAUGGAUGAGCCCGCGUUGGAUUAGCUAGCUGGUGGGGUAAAGGCCUACCAAGGCGACGAUCCAUAGCUGGUCUGAGAGGAUGAUCAGCCACACUGGGACUGAGACACGGCCCAGACUCCUACGGGAGGCAGCAGUGGGGAAUAUUGGACAAUGGGCGCAAGCCUGAUCCAGCCAUGCCGCGUGAGUGGUGAAGGCCCUAGGGUUGUAAAGCUCUUUCACCGGUGAAGAUAAUGACGGUAACCGGAGAAGAAGCCCCGGCUAACUUCGUGCCAGCCGCCGCGGUAAUAC
rnacentral:rRNA from 1 species